rnacentral:tRNA from 1 species
GGAGAGAUGGCCGAGAGGUUUAAAGCGUCGGAUUGCUAAUCCGUUGUACAAUUUUUACGUACCGAGGGUUCGAAUCCCUCUCUCUCCU